GAUGAACGCUGGCGGCGUGCCUAAUACAUGCAAGUCGAGCGAACAGACGAGGAGCUUGCUCCUCUGACGUUAGCGGCGGACGGGUGAGUAACACGUGGAUAACCUACCUAUAAGACUGGGAUAACUUCGGGAAGCCGGAGCUAAUACCGGAUAAUAUAUUGAACCGCAUGGUUCAAUAGUGAAAGACGGUUUUGCUGUCACUUAUAGAUGGAUCCGCGCCGCAUUAGCUAGUUGGUAAGGUAACGGCUUACCAAGGCAACGAUGCGUAGCCGACCUGAGAGGGUGAUCGGCCACACUGGAACUGAGACACGGUCCAGACUCCUACGGGAGGCAGCAGUAGGGAAUCUUCCGCAAUGGGCGAAAGCCUGACGGAGCAACGCCGCGGGAGUGAUGAAGGUCUUCGGAUCGUAAAACUCUGUUAUUAGGGAAGAACAAAUGUGUAAGUAACUAUGCACGUCUGGACGGUACCUAAUCAGAAAGCCACGGCGAACUACGU
rnacentral:rRNA from 1 species